CCAAAUGUGUGUGGCUCUACAUUCAAGCCUAGUACUAGCAACAAAGUCAGUGUGGGAAGGGUGCUGGUGGCUUACACCUGUAAUCCUAGAUACUCAGAAGGCUAACAUCUGAGGAGCUGAGAUCUGAAGAUUGUGGUUUGAAGCCAGCCCCAGCAGGAAA